rnacentral:rRNA from 1 species
UACGGAGGGUGCGAGCGUUGUCCGGAAUCAUUGGGCGUAAAGGGCGCGUAGGCGGCCGUCCCAAGCGUGCGGUGAAAGUCAGGGGCUCAACCCCUGAUCGGCCGUGCGAACUGGGGGGCUCGAGCACUGUAGAGGCAGGCGGAAUUCCAGGUGUAGCGGUGAAAUGCGUAGAUAUCUGGAGGAAUACCGGUGGCGAAGGCGGCAUCCUGGACCGGCAUUGACGCUGAGGAGCGAAAGCCAGGGGAGCAAACGGG